CGUAGGUGGCAAGCGUUGUCCGGAAUUAUUGGGCGUAAAGCGCGCGCAGGCGGUUCCUUAAGUCUGAUGUGAAAGCCCCCGGCUCAACCGGGGAAGGUCAUUGGAAACUGGGGAACUUGAGUGCAGAAGAGAAGAGCGGAAUUCCACGUGUAGCGGUGAAAUGCGUAGAGAUGUGGAGGAACACCAGUGGCGAAGGCGGCUCUUUGGUCUGUAACUGACGCUGAGGCGCGAAAGCGUGGGGAGCAAACAGGAUUAGAUACCCUGGUAGUCCACGCCGUAAACGAUGAGUGCUAAGUGUUAGAGGGUUUCCGCCCUUUAGUGCUGCAGCUAACGCAUUAAGCACUCCGCCUGGGGGAGUACGGCCGCAAGGCUG
rnacentral:rRNA from 1 species